rnacentral:lncRNA from 1 species
AACUUAAUGGCUGUGAUGCACAAUUGAUACUUUGUCUGGAUUUUAGUGAUCUCUUCUUACAUUUGGCUUCCUAAAUCAACUUCAUAUCUUCAACAGUCAAAGUUGUGCAUUAAACUUCUUUGUAUCUUUGAUCAAUAGUGGUGCUGAAUUGUUUUUUGAGGGGGUUGGGGGUUGUUAAUUCAUUCUUAUUAGACAUGGAUAUCUUUUUACACAUUUGAUUUUAUUUAUAAUCUAAUCAAAAGGCUCAUAUAUAUUAAGUUUAUUUGGCAACAUCAUAAUCUUUUAAAAAAGAAACAGAAAUUAGGCAUAGUUGUGUUCAUAAAGUGUUUUGUGGAGACUCAAAGAAGUCUUAGAUUUCACUUUGUCCAACCCAGGUACAAAAAGAAUCCCCACAAUAGUAUACCAAAUAAUUGAUUGUUCAAGGUUGAAUGGGACUUGCUUCUUAAAAGAUAGAGUUCUGUUGUUCUUCCUUAAGUGUUUCUUUUUAUUAUUAUAAAAGAUCACAUACCCCUAUUUCCUUUCAUUGAUAAAAGGUAUACAAUUCAAGGAAGAAGACUUGGAUGAUCAAGUUAUUGUUUUAGUUCAAUGACAUUCUGCAAAGAACUGAGAGCUUAAUGUUUCACCAAGGAAAUUGAAUUCCUUCCAUUUGAAUUGUCUCAGGAAGAUUCUGAAGGUCAUCUGGCAAGAUAAGGUACCAGACACUGAGGUCCUUUCUUAAGCUGAAGCACCAAAGCCUUCCAACUCCACUGGAGAGAGCUCAACUCCAAUGGCUGGCCACGUUAUUGGAAUGCCAAACCCACAGUUGCCUGAAAGACUAUUUCACCAGAAAAUUGAUAUGACCUACUAUCAACACUUUACUGUAUUAAGCAAUUGAAGAGAUUUUUAAAAAAGGAAAUAAGACACAUUCCUUGAUGCUGUGGAGCUCGUAAAUAAAUAUAAUGCAAACCAAUGCAUGAUAUGCGUAUGAAGACAGUUCUUCAGGAACAAGGAUCAUCAGGGAGAGGAGGAAAGGAAUCAGAAAAAGCAUCAUGAGACAGAUUUAAAAUUUUGUGUGUGGACCUAUGCUUGGGCAAGAAUUUUUCAGGAAGGAGCUUCACCAGAUCAGGAAACCUGUUGUUAUCAUCUGGUUCAAGAGCUUGCUCAAAAGGGAUAUAAGAUUUCAAAGAUCAAGGUACAGUAUUGUAUGUCACAAGUAGAAUAUUUGGGUUUUAUCUUGUCGAUAGGAAAGAGAACUAUUUCACUAAAGAGAGUUCAGGCUUUGCAGAACCUAUCCAUUCCUAAGACUAAGAAACAAGUACGAGCUAUAUCAGGGGCAGCAGGUUAUUGUUGUGCCUGAAUAUUGACCUAUUGGGAAAAUUGUUAAGCCUGUCACUGAAUUGACAAAGAAUUUGGUCACUGAGCCUUUGGAGGUGAAA